AGAGUUUGAUCCUGGCUCAGGAUGAACGCUGGCGGCGUGCCUAAUACAUGCAAGUCGAACGCUUUGUGGUUCAACUGAUUUGAAGAGCUUGCUCAGAUAUGACGAUGGACAUUGCAAAGAGUGGCGAACGGGUGAGUAACACGUGGGAAACCUACCUCUUAGCAGGGGAUAACAUUUGGAAACAGAUGCUAAUACCGUAUAACAAUGACAACCGCAUGGUUGUUAUUUAAAAGAUGGUUCUGCUAUCACUAAGAGAUGGUCCCGCGGUGCAUUAGCUAGUUGGUAAGGUAAUGGCUUACCAAGGCGAUGAUGCAUAGCCGAGUUGAGAGACUGAUCGGCCACAAUGGGACUGAGACACGGCCCAUACUCCUACGGGAGGCAGCAGUAGGGAAUCUUCCACAAUGGGCGAAAGCCUGAUGGAGCAACGCCGCGUGUGUGAUGAAGGGUUUCGGCUCGUAAAACACUGUUGUAAGAGAAGAAUGACAUUGAGAGUAACUGUUCAAUGUGUGACGGUAUCUUACCAGAAAGGAACGGCUAAAUACGUGCCAGCAGCCGCGGUAAUACGUAUGUUCCAAGCGUUAUCCGGAUUUAUUGGGCGUAAAGCGAGCGCAGACGGUUAUUUAAGUCUGAAGUGAAAGCCCUCAGCUCAACUGAGGAAUUGCUUUGGAAACUGGAUGACUUGAGUGCAGUAGAGGAAAGUGGAACUCCAUGUGUAGCGGUGAAAUGCGUAGAUAUAUGGAAGAACACCAGUGGCGAAGGCGGCUUUCUGGACUGUAACUGACGUUGAGGCUCGAAAGUGUGGGUAGCAAACAGGAUUAGAUACCCUGGUAGUCCACACCGUAAACGAUGAGUGCUAGGUGUUUGAGGGUUUCCGCCCUUAAGUGCCGCAGCUAACGCAUUAAGCACUCCGCCUGGGGAGUACGACCGCAAGGUU
rnacentral:rRNA from 1 species